UCCAGCAAUGCCGCGUGAGUGAAGAAGGCCUUCGGGUUGUAAAGCUCUUUUGUCAGGGAAGAAACGGCUGAGGUUAAUACCUGNGGCUAAUGACGGUACCUGAAGAAUAAGCACCGGCUAACUACGUGCCAGCAGCCGCGGUAAUACGUAGGGUGCAAGCGUUAAUCGGAAUUACUGGGCGUAAAGCGUGCGCAGGCGGUUUUGUAAGUCUGACGUGAAAGCCCCGGGCUCAACCUGGGAAUUGCGUUGGAGACUGCAAGGCUUGAAUCUGGCAGAGGGGGGUAGAAUUCCACGUGUAGCAGUGAAAUGCGUAGAGAUGUGGAGGAACACCGAUGGCGAAGGCAGCCCCCUGGGUCAAGAUUGACGCUCAUGCACGAAAGCGUGGGGAGCAAACAGGAUUAGAUACCCUGGUAGUCCACGCCCUAAACGAUGUCUACUAGUUGUCGGGUUUUAAUUAACUUGGUAACGCAGCUAACGCGUGAAGUAGACCGCC
rnacentral:rRNA from 1 species